GAUGAACGCUGGCGGCGUGCCUAAUACAUGCAAGUCGAGCGAACAGACGAGGAGCUUGCUCCUCUGACGUUAGCGGCGGACGGGUGAGUAACGCGUGGAUAACCUACCUAUAAGACUGGGAUAACUUCGGGAAACCGGAGCUAAUACCGGAUAAUAUAUUGAACCGCAUGGUGCAAUAGUGAAAGACGGUUUUGCUGUCACUUAUAGAGGGAUCCGCGCCGCAUUAGCUAGUUGGUAAGGUAACGGCUUACUAAGGCAACGAUGCGUAGCCGACCUGAGAGGGUGAUCGGCCACACAGGAGCUGAGACGCGGCCCUGACUCCGACGGGAGGCAGCGGUAGGGAAUCGUCCGCAAUGGGCGAAAGCCUGACGGAGCAACGCCGCGUGGGUGAUGAAGGUCUGCGGGUCGUAAAACUCUGUUAUUAGGGAAGAACAAAUGUGUAAGUAACUAUGCACGUCUUGACGGUACCUAAUCAGAAAGCCACGGCUAACUACGU
rnacentral:rRNA from 1 species